UACGUAGGGGGCCAGCGUUGUUCGGAAUUACUGGGCGUAAAGGGUUCGUAGGCGGUGUGGCAAGUCGGGAGUGAAAUCUCUGGGCUCAACCCAGAGUCUGCUUCCGAAACUGCUGUGCUUGAGUGUGGGAGAGGCGCGUGGAAUUGCAGGUGUAGCGGUGAAAUUCGUAGAUAUUCGCAAGAACACCAGUGGCGAAGGCGGCUCACUGGCCCGGUACUGACGCUGAGGCACGAAAGCGUGGGGAGCAAACAGG
rnacentral:rRNA from 1 species